rnacentral:rRNA from 1 species
UUGAAAGGGAAACGAUUGAAGUCGGUCGUCCGAGGGAGAUCAACUUUUCGAGGGCGAAUUUGUGGGCGUGCGUGACUGUUAAAGGCUCCUGUUUGCAAUUAGGUGGUUUUUGGGUGUACUUUUUCGGAUGGUAGGCCACCGUCAGGUUCGAUCACCAUAAAAUGAUUGGAGGAAUGUAGGUUUGAUCUCGUAUUGGAGGGGUAUAGCCUUUGGUAGAUGUGGUGGGCGAAACUGAGGUUGGAACGAAUACCCUUUGGGCUAUCCGUCUGACCUCUGAAGGUGGCUGGGUGGCCGAAAGCUUGCUUAUGGUAUUUAAGACGACGGUCAAAAGGUUAGAACGUGAUUACUUCGUUAAGGAUGUUGACGUA